CUAGGAUUUAGCCACGCCCUUCAUUCGUUACUGUGAGGAUUUUCAGAACAGAGGUUGUGGCAGUUUCAGCAUCAAAUACCUGUUAAAGAAGAAAAGAUAGUUGAACUAGAAACAGAAAAUGCUGUUCUGUCCCUGAGAUUGGCAGAGAUAACGAAGUAAUGUUUUGCUCUGACCAAUGAGCCACAGGAAUGGCUCUAGAUGUGGUCAUCGUAUACUACCCUGAAAGAACCGCCAGAGUUCCAGGACGGCCACCUUUCACUUAAGCAAACUUGUCCACAGACUGUGUGGGUCCCAUCAGCUGAGAGUAGCCUUCACAUUGCAGUGAUGUGCAUAUUUCUGCUUUUCAGCCACGAUGGACUUUAGGAUCUUCCCUGAGGACCCUACACGAACCACAGGUGACCUGGAUGCAGAAGUCCUACCUGUAGCUGCCAUCCUGGGCAUAAGUCCCUCAGUGAGUGAAUUCCAGAUGGUUCUGUCUAAAGCAGCAUCAAGCAGGGUGGUGGGAUAGAAUGACAGUUGUGAGCAGUUCCCAUCGGCAUCAACUGUACCACAGACCCAGUCUCAGUGUGACACAGAAGACGACUACCUGGAAAGUAUGUCCUCUCUCUAAGGGGACAGUAUAAUACAAUACUCUGGACUGCAGGUCAGACAAGGCCUGUGUUUAGGAGACUUGUGGACAGAUGAAUGUCUGUGAGUCUGGACUUAGACUCUGUGGAGGCCUCAGGUCACCUGACUGUCCUGAAGCUUCCCACUGUGAUUUAUUUCCCUCCUACAGAGUCAGCCACCUGAGCAACUGCAUUUCCUGGUUAUCCCCUAAUCCACUUACACUGUGUAGAGUGUCCAGUCUUAGGGAGGGCCUGGGAAUCUGAGAGACACCACUGAGCCCUCUGGGCCUGGCUGACUCAACUUGAGGCUACUCUGUGUGUCUUCAUUUUGCUCACCCACCAGAGACCUCAAAAGUCAGCAGUAAAGUUGCUGAGAGGCCAGGAGCCUCCAUAUUGACCCAAGAGCAAUUGUCCUCUUUUACAGGUUCAUCCACAGAGCACGUAAUUCUGAUUGGUGCAACAGUCUGGAAGAGUGAAAGAUAUCAUCUCCCAAGGGCAAGUGCUGUGCUAGUGGACACUGAGGAGCUGCAGGGAUCAGACCCCUCCCCAUCCUUCUCCAGCCUCUCUUGUUCUUUCUUGAGAUGUUUCCUGCAGACCUGAAAGAUCCAUGCAGUCCAUGACAUGGGUUUCAAUUUAAUCUCAGGACAUUUUAUUCAUUGCCCAAAAACUAAGACCAGAUAAAAUUUAUUCAUUCAUUCAUUCAUUCAUUCAUUCAUUCAUUCAUUUCUUAUAUAUAAGUACAGGGUAGUUGUCUUUAGAAACAACAGAGAGGUCAUCAGAUCUAAUUAGAGAUAUUUGUGAGCUGCCAUGUGGUUGCUUGGAUUUGAACUCAAGACCCCUGGAAGAGCAUUCAGUGCUCUUAACCAUUUAUCAAUCUUUCCCAUUUCCAAGGUAACUUUUUUACUUUCAACAAGGUAUUCUUUAUUCAGGUUACAUCCUGAUCCCAGCUACUCUCCCUCUUCCCUUCCCAGUCCCACCAUACAAAUCCUUUCUAACAAUACUCUCCCUUCUCUUUGGAGAUGGGGAUACUCCCUGGGUACCACACCACCCUGGGACAUCUAGUCCCAGGUGGACCGAGCACAUUCUGCCCCACAGAUUUACAAUCAGGCAGUCCGGGUAUGGGGAAGAGAUCCAAUGGCAGGCAACAAAGACUGAGACAGUCCUGGAUCUACUUGUCAGAUGACCCACAUGGAGACCAACUGCAGAUAGCUACACCAGGCUCUGGAGUUGGUUGCACAUGCUCUAGUAUACAUGGUCCAAAGUAUCUGACUGUAGGGGACUUCUUGUAGUGUUUUUGACCCCUCUAGUUUGCUCACAAUUCUCCCUCACUCUUCCACAAGACUUCCCAAGCUCCAUCUGAUGUUUGGCUGUGGGUUUCAGCUUGUGGAUGAAGCCUCUUCAGAGACAAGUAUGUUUCUUUUCUGUCCACAAGUAUAUCAGAGUAUCAUAAAUACUGUCAGAGGUUAUCUCUGUCACAUAGAUGAAUCUCACUUUGGGGCAGUCAUUGAUUGGUUGUUCCCUCAAUCUCUGCUAUAUCUUUAUCCCUGCACAUUCAUUAGCAAGAUAGAUUUUAAGUUGGUGCUGUGAGUGCAUUGAUGUCCACUUCCUCGUCUAGAAGUUCUUUCUUGCAACAAGAGGUAGCCAUUUCUGUCUCUUGCUCUGGUAGGAUUCUAACCUAGGGUCACCCCCGUAGACUCCCCCUAUGCUCUCCCUUACCAGCCAUCCAGCAAGUCACCAGAGAUCCCUGCUCCCUCCUGCCCAGAAAAUUUGUAUUCCCACUCCCAUCCCUCUCCCAAACCCCUCUCCCUUGACCUGAUCACUAUUUCCGUCUCCUUUCCUGCCUCUUCUCUUAACCUGUUCCAUCACUUCAUCCUUCUGAGGACUAUUUUGUUUUCCCUCUGAGUGAGAUUCACACCUCCUCAUUUAGGCCCUCCUUCUUUCUUCUUGUCUAUCUAUCUGUUAUCUUACACUGUAUGAUAAUGUCCACCUAUAAGUGAGUACACACCAUACGUUUUUCUGUGGUUCUGGGUUUCCUCACUCAGGAUAACAUUCUAAAGUUCAUCCAUUUGCCUAAAAAGUUCAUAAUGUAUUUAUUUUUAAUAGCUGAAGAGUAUUCCUUUGUAUAGAUAUAUACCAUAUUUUCUGUAUCCAUUUUUCAGUUGAGGGGUAUUUAGGCUUUUUUUAGUUCUUGGCUAUGACAGAUAAAACCAGUAUGAACAAAGUUCAUCAAGCAUCCUUGUGGGAUGGUGGGGCAUCUUUUGCGUAUAUGUCCAGGGGUUGUUUUGCUAAGUCCAGUGGUAAAACGAUUCCCACUUUUCUGAGAAACUGCCAAUAUGAUUUUGAAAGUGGAUAUACAAGUUUGCAAUCCAAGCAGCAAUGGAGGAGUAUUCCCUUUUUUCCACAUCCUCACCAGCAUGUGCUGGAUGUCACUUGAGAUUUUUAUUUUAGUCAUUCUGAUUCAUGUAAGUUGGAAUCACAGGGUGCUUUUGAUUUGGAUAUACCUGAUGACCAAGGAUGGUGAACAGUUCUUCAAGUGUCUCUUGGCCCUUCGAAGUUCCGCUGAUGAAUUUAGCUUUGCACCCCAUUAUUAGAUUAGGAUAUCUGGUUUCUUGUAGUUUAACUUGUUAUUUAUGUAAUUUGGAUAUUAGUCUUUUGUGAGAUAUAGGCUUGGUGAAGAUCCUUUUCCAACCUGUAGUCUGCCAUUUCUCCUAUCAAGUGUGUUCUUUUCCUUACAGAAGCUUUUCAGUUUCAAGUUUCGUUUAUUGUGGAUCUCAAUAUCUGAGCACCACUGGGGUUCUGUUCGGGAAGUUGUCUCCUGUACCAAUGUGCUCAAGCCUAUUUUCCAAUUUCUCUUGUAUCAGGUUUGACAGAUAAGGUUUUAUGUUGAGGUCUUUGAUGCAAUUGGACUUGAGUUUUGCAGAGCUUUAUACAUUAGGGUCAUUGCAUUCUUCUUUAUGCCUGUAUCCAAUUAGACCAGCACCACCUGUUGAAGAUGCUUUCUUAUUUUUGUCAUAUGAUUUUGCCUCCUUUCUUGACAAUAAGCAUCCAUAGUUGUGUGGGUUUAUUUCAGGGUCUUGGAUUUCAUUUUAUUGAUCAAUCUGUCUGUUCCUAUACCAAUACCAUAUAGUUGUAUUACUAUAGCUCUGUAGAACAGCAGUAAAUCAGAGAUGGUGAUUCCUCCUGAAAUUCUUUUAUUGUUCAGGAAAGUUUUAGCUCCCUGUGUUUGUUAAAUAUUUCACUUGAAGUUGAGAAUUGCUCUUUUAAGGUGUGUAAAGACUUGUUUUCAGCUUUGACAGGUAUUGCCUUCACAAUUUAGAUUGGUUUUAGUAAGAUGGUAGUUUUCAAAUUAUUAAUCCUACCUGUCCAUGACCUUUCUUAUGAUAUCUUCUUCAAUUGCUUUAAUCGGAGAUUAAAUUUUUUGUCAUACAGAUCUUUCCUUUUCUUAUAAUUGCACUGAGGCCUUUUUGUUAUAUUAUUUGUUGCUAUUGUAAAUAGUAGUGUUUCCCUAAUUUGUCAGUCCCUUCAUUGUUUGUUUAAAAGAGUCCUACUGAUUUUUUUUAGUUAAACUUGUAUCCAUAAACUUUGCUGAUGGUGUUUAUCAAAUGUAGGAGUUAUCUGUUCUUUUUAGCUUUGUCAGUCUUGGACCCAGAGGGCAGAAUGAAGGGCUGUAAAGAUGACAGGGUGUUUCCUCUAUCCUAUCUUCUCCUUUGUCAUUCCAAGGGCAGUAAGCCUAGAAAUUACCUUUCCAUUCUUUCUCCAAACUCCAUUUGCUUACCAGACAGUGAUAGCUGAGAAUUCCAGACCACUACUGUGUCAUGUGGACCCUGUCUGCAGGAGAAUGGUCUCUUAGGGCAGGUGAAAUGUUGCCUGUAUGUUCUUCAAUUUGCAUGAGGUGGCUAGAAGGAGGUUUUUAUGUAAGGCACACAACACAUCAUUCUUCAACAAUGUGAGCCUUCAGAUCUGAUGUAAAUAUUUGAGAUUGAAUAUCUAGUUCAUGAUUUAAUUUCAAAAAUUCUAAAGAAAGGUUUCAGAUUUGAUGCUAGGGAUUUUAUUUUUAUCAAUUCAAAUCAACAUUACACUAAUCGUUGGUGGACAUUAUAGGUGACAGUUCUGUUAGAGAGUUAACUAAUUCUUCAGAGGUUCCAAAGACUCUAGGACUCUCACAGCAUUACACAGCAUUCUUGCAGGUAGGAGCAAAGAUGUCUGAGAAGAGUGGGAGCUCAUAGGUGGCCGUCAAACAUAGCUAUCUGAAAAGAUGUAAAUUUAGUAAAGAGAUGUAGAUACACUGUCAGGAAAGGAAGAAGCGUGUUGCUGUACCUCCUGUGACUUAAGUGCUAGAAGAACACUUGUGUCAGUCGAGUCUGCAACUCUUUCUCAGCAUAAUAGAGUUAUUUAAUUUUAAUUCCUGAAUUUUGCACUGUCAUUCCUUAGGUGAUUUAUGGAAAAAGACCUCAGUUUGCUUAUUUUAUGUGAAAGGGGAUUUUAUGAUUUCAUCACAUUUUCUAUUUUCAGAAUCCCUAAUGUGGGUUCAGAAGAUUUUUCUGAUCCAUAGAAAUCUGUGCAUCAGUGAAAUAUGCACACUUUCAAAUAAAACAGAAGCAUUUUCAACCCAAAAAUUCUUUUUAAUACAAGCUAUACGAUCAAGUGUUGAAAUACAAGCAUAAGUAUUU